CCUCAAUUCGAUCCCUGACUUUGCCCCUCAUUCCGAGUCGAGAUUUGAGAAUUGAGAGCAUAGUACCGUACUUUCCCCUCAAUUCGAUCCCUGACUUUGCACGAUAUGCCUGUAAUAAUUUCCUCCCUCUUGCCUUUUCUGUAAUUGAUUUCCCCCCGAUCUGCAUCAGUAUUUCUUAGGUUUUCAUGAUCACCUCAUUUUCUUCGAAAAUUUGCUCAUUUUGGUAUUGAGUUUCUUCUUGUGGUCGUGUUCUCCCGCGAUGCAGGGUAAGAUUUUCCUAGAGGUGGAACCUCCAAGCCCACUCAGAUACUUAAUGGGAGCCGCCGUUAUGAUGAUCGGAGUCGUAUUACCCGUCGGUUACAUGAUGUUCCGGAACAAGCGCGUUCCCUCAUCUUCUUCCUAUUCCAAACAGACGUAGGGACAAGGUUCUGAUAUAGAGACGUAACCGAAUGCGAGAGCUGCGAUUUACUGGAUCUGGAUUUGUCAGGUUAUGUUUGAAGUUGAUUUAUAGGAGACUUAACCAGAUUCAAAAUUAGGUCAAUUGUAAAUGCAAUGAGAUCCUGUUUCUUGUUAGUGGGUUCGUCUCCAAAUUCUGAACUCCGAUACCAAGAAAUUAUAUGAUUGGGACUUGCAUUCCAUUUUUUCUCUCGGAUCUGAAAUCUCUUGUAGCUCCCUAAUUUCUAUUAUGGGUUGGGGAAUAUUACACCGUAAAAUGUCGUUGUUCUUUUAUAUUUUAUCCUGAAAGGAAGCAGAAAGAUCUUAAUCUUGCUAGUUACUUAGCAUUCAGUUUCACUAUCA